rnacentral:rRNA from 1 species
UGGGGAAUUUUGGACAAUGGGCGAAAGCCUGAUCCAGCCAUGCCGCGUGAGUGAAGAAGGCCUUCGGGUUGUAAAGCUCUUUUAGUCGGAAAGAAAGAGUUGCAAUGAAUAAUUGUGAUUUAUGACGGUACCGACAGAAAAAGCACCGGCUAACUACGUGCCGGCAGCCGCGGUAAUACGUAGGGUGCGAGCGUUAAUCGGAAUUACUGGGCGUAAAGGGUGCGCAGGCGGUUUUGCAAGUCAGAUGUGAAAGCCCCGGGCUUAACCUGGGAAUUGCGUUUGAAACUACAAGGCUAGAGUGCAGCAGAGGGGAGUGGAAUUCCAUGUGUAGCAGUGAAAUGCGUAGAGAUGUGGAAGAACACCGAUGGCGAAGGCAGCUCCCUGGGUUGACACUGACGCUCAUGCACGAAAGCGUGGGGAGCAAACA